rnacentral:rRNA from 1 species
UACGGAGGGGGGCUAGCGUUAUUCGGAAUUACUGGGCGUAAAGCGCACGUAGGCGGCUUUGUAAGUUAGAGGUGAAAGCCCCGGGGCUCAACCCCGGAAUUGCCUUUAAGACUGCAUCGCUUGAACGUCGGAGAGGUGAGUGGAAUUCCGAGUGUAGAGGUGAAAUUCGUAGAUAUUCGGAAGAACACCAGUGGCGAAGGCGGCUCACUGGACGACUGUUGACGCUGAGGUGCGAAAGCGUGGGGAGCAAACAGG